rnacentral:rRNA from 1 species
GAUGAACGCUGGCGGCGUGCCUAAUACGUGCAAGUCGAGCGAACGGACGAGAAGCUUGCUUCUCUGAUGUUAGCGGCGGACGGGUGAGUAACACGUGGAUAACCUACCUAUAAGACUGGGAUAACUUCGGGAAACCGGAGCUAAUACCGGAUAAUAUUUUGAACCGCAUGGUUCAAAAGUGAAAGACGGUCUUGCUGUCACUUAUAGAUGGAUCCGCGCUGCAUUAGCUAGUUGGUAAGGUAACGGCUUACCAAGGCAACGAUGCAUAGCCGACCUGAGAGGGUGAUCGGCCACACUGGAACUGAGACACGGUCCAGACUCCUACGGGAGGCAGCAGUAGGGAAUCUUCCGCAAUGGGCGAAAGCCUGACGGAGCAACGCCGCGUGAGUGAUGAAGGUCUUCGGAUCGUAAAACUCUGUUACUAGGGAAGAACAUAUGUGUAAGUAACUGUGCACAUCUUGACGGUACCUAAUCAGAAAGCCACGGCUAACUACGUG